rnacentral:rRNA from 1 species
GUGAGGAAUAUUGGUCAAUGGACGCAAGUCUGAACCAGCCAUGCCGCGUGCAGGAUGACGGUCCUAUGGAUUGUAAACUGCUUUUGUACAGGAAGAAACCCUCUUUCGUGAAAGAGAUUGACGGUACUGUAAGAAUAAGGAUCGGCUAACUCCGUGCCAGCAGCCGCGGUAAUACGGAGGAUCCAAGCGUUAUCCGGAAUCAUUGGGUUUAAAGGGUCCGUAGGCGGUUUUGUAAGUCAGUGGUGAAAUCUGGUCGCUCAACGAUCAAACGGCCAUUGAUACUGCAAGACUUGAAUUACUAGGAAGUAACUAGAAUAUGUAGUGUAGCGGUGAAAUGCUUAGAUAUUACAUGGAAUACCAAUUGCGAAGGCAGGUUACUACUAGUGGAUUGACGCUGAUGGACGAAAGCGUGGGGAGCGAACAGGAUUAGAAACCCUAGUAGUCC